GUCAGGCCCUCAUCAGCCUCCUGAUUGGCUGGAGUCAGUCACGUGACUGCGUGGGGUUCCCUCCACCUGGACAGUGGAUGUUUCAGGUCCGGUCAGUCAUCCAGUUUCAGGCUGUCCUGGAGGAAACAAGGCAGCGGCCAUUUUGAAGUUGGGCAGUUUAACAGCUGGGAAUAAUUUGAGCUCUCUGCUGCCACCUGCUAGUCAGGCGAGCCGCUGAACCCAGGAGGAGGAGAAAGAUGAUGAUGAUGAUGGUGAUGAUGAUGAUGAUGGUGAUGAUGAUGAUGAUGGUGAUGAUGAUGAUGAAGUCCUCAGGGUGCACUUACUUUCCCAGAAACUUUAAACACAGAAACAGGUAAAAACUUUCAAAAGAUUUCACACCCGACUACAACAUUUCAACCAAAACAUUUUUCAUAUUUUACUU